rnacentral:rRNA from 1 species
CAAUAGCGUAUAUUAAAGUUGUUGCGGUUAAAAAGCUCGUAGUUGGAUUUCUGCUGAGAACGACCGGUCCGCCCUCUGGGUGUGUAUCUGGCUCUUUCUUGGCAUCUUCUUGGUGAACGUUGCUGCACUUGACUGUGUGGAGCGCUACCCAGGACUUUUACUUUGAGGAAAUUAGAGUGUUUCAAGCAGGCACACGCCUUGAAUACAUUAGCAUGGAAUAAUAAGAUAGGACCUCGGUUCUAUUUUGUUGGUUUCUAGAGCUGAGGUAAUGAUUAAUAGGGAUAGUUGGGGGCAUUCGUAUUUAACUGUCAGAGGUGAAGUUCUUGGAUUUGUUAAAGACGGACUACUGCGAAAGCAUUUGCCAAGGAUGUUUUCAUUGA